GAGAUUCUCCACUGUGUUCUGACCACGGUGGAGGUGCUGAGCCGCUGGUAACGUUCCAGGAGGAAUCAGGCACCAAGGAGAAGGCGAUCAGCUUUGUGGCGAGAGCUGGGCGUUCACUGCCUGCCGGCUGCCAGAGGCCAUCAGGGCAGAAGUUUCAGUUCAUGAGAUUUCCUGCAGCAGAGAGUACUUUAAAAGAGGAAGAGUUCCCUGUGACUUGGGCCUGCCGUGUGUACAGCACUUGUUCCUCUCUCAAGUAAGUGGGUUUGGAUUGCUUUGCGUUGAUCCGUUCUGAGCAGAAGGUAUCGAUUCUCUCUGAAAACCUGUGUCAUUAUGACACCAAGACAAGGAGGCUGAGGUUUCAGAUAUUUUGCUAUCUGGCAAAUAAAUAAAUAAAUAAAAUCCCACUCUUCAGGUUCUGUAGGACCAAAAUAAUAGUACCAAUGACUUACUCCCCCAAAGCUUUCCUUGAUGUGUUCUCUAUGUCUCUCCUAGGAGUUGCCGUUUUUUGGGGUUUUGGGGUUUUUUUUUUUUUUUUGUCUUUUUAGGGCCGCACCCAAAGCAUAUGAGGUUCCCAGGCUAGGGUUCAAAUCAGAGCUCUACUCGCUGGCCUACGCCGCAGCCGCAGCCACAGCCACACCAGAUCCAAGCCGAGUCUGCGACCUACACCACAACUCACAGCAACGCCGGAUCCUUAAGCCACUGAGCAAGGCCAGGGAUCGAACCUGCAUCCUCAAGGAUGCUAGUCAGAUUCAUUUCCACUGAGCCACGACGGGAACUCUGAUUUGUUGUUUUUUUACGGGCUGUGUAGUAUUCACUAGUAAUCCCCCUGUGUAGUAUUUAGAAAUGCAUAGACUUGAAGACAUUGUAAGAAAAUGAACGUUUGUACGUUCCAGCUGGAAGCGCCCUGUCGAUGCCUGGGGCAUGAGCUGGUGUUUCCUGGGAGGCCUGCUGGGGGGAGCGGUGGCCAGCAGCUAGUGCCCGAGGAGUUUUGGACACAGAGAUCUUUGCAGGAUGGCCUCCCAGGAGAGGUCAUGUUGAGAGGGCAGGACUUAAAUGCCAGCCAAGGGGCAGACUGAGAGGGUGGGGCAGGUGUUGGAGGACAGCCAGGGGACACGGGAAGGAGUGUGUCCCUCAAGGGCAUUGCUGGGUGCUCUGUCCCUCCUCCAUGCCUCUCCCAGAUUCCUUCUUGAUGGUGAGCCCGGAAACAUCCCAUAGCGGGACCCAUCUUCGCACGAAGAAGCUGAGGAAGUGGAUGGAUGGAUGGUGGUCAAGGUCCAGAUGGCCCCUCCUCUCUGACAGGGUGCUGAGAGCUCCGUGUCGCUGAGGGAGGAGGUUGGGAAUGUUCAGGAAAUUGAAUUAACUCAUGCCUGCAGGGACCUGGUGAGUGGUCACAACAGCCUUUGGGAGGUCACCAAGUCCUAGCCUUGGUGCCCCCUCCACGUGCUGUGACCACACGCUGCAACUUGAUUGUGUCUUCCUCCGGCCUCUUUUCUCACAUCGCUGUGUAACGGCCCAGCCCUGGAUGGCAUGCUGGGCAUGUUAUGUUGGCCUGUUAUUGCAUCAGGCAAGACUGUGCUGGGGGGGUGGUAUUUCUCCAGGAGCUUUAGCAUCCACCUUAGGCUGACAAGGAAGACUCGGCCUGUGCCUGGUGGAAUUCUGCAAAGAGAGAGAUUAAAGAAAAAGCCAGCCGCACGUGUCAGUGAUGCACCCUGCAGUCCAUCAGGCUUAUCACUGUGUUACCUUACCACAUGGGAGAAGCUCUGAGAUGAAAGCCUUGGGUUCCUGUUGGCCGGGGGAACUCAGAUCUCCCACCCCUGGUCCCCAGGUGGUGGAACUGCACCUGCGCCCAGGUGGAUUGAAUGCGCCUUGUUUCCCAUGGGGCCUCUCUUUCCUGCUCUGCUCCUUCUAGGAGCCUACCCAUCCGGGUUCGCCCACAAGUGAGGGCUUUUCUGGAACAUGGGACUUUGAAGUACUUAAAAAGGCCCUAGAAAUCGGGGGCCUCUUGGUUCUUGUCAUGAGUCCCGGGACCCCUCCCUGCCCCUCCCUCCCUUCCCCAGCUGUGGGACGGCUGUGCCCACCCAGCUGGCUCCUGACAGCAGGGGAAUUGGCGGUGCUGGUGGCUGGGAAAGAACUGGGGGGGUUGAGUAGACACAGUGCAACUUCAGGUCCGCUGCUUGCUAACCUGCCAAUGGCCCUGACCUCUCUGAGCCUCAGUCUUCCAUAUGCAAAUAAGAAUACAAACACGCCACCACGGAAUUGGGCAAGGUCCCAUGACACAGCCGCAGGAAGUGUCUGGGACAGCGUUGACAUGGAGAAGUGGAGGACCCCCGGACCAGGCCCUCCCCCCCCCCGCCCCCGCUCCACUGCCCUGGAAGAACCACCUGAGAAGAUGGUGAGUUACCUUCACAGGCAUCAUCUCGAGCUUUGUCAGUACUAUUAUGUAGCCAGGUCCUGCUCCGGGAAGAUUAGAAAGAAUUCGGGCAUGUCACUCAUUAACACAAUGUCCCCUGGGUUGUAGCUCGAAAUCUGGGCCCCCAGAUCUAAUUCUUAAAUACUGCCAGGUUGUUGUGGGCAAGGUACUUUAAAUUGUUUUCCUAUCAGUUUUCCAUAAAUAGGACAGAAACCAAAAAAAAAAAAAAGUGCUCUGAGGAUUGUUGUGAAUAGCACGGUUUUGUCUUAUGAUCCAGAUGUUUUCAGUUGUUUAAGGCUAUUUUCACAUUUAAAGUUCCUUCACACCUUGUUCUUUUCUGAGUUUAUAAAUGAUAGAUGUCGCCUUAUGAAGAAUACGUAUUAUUAUUAUUGCCAUUAACAUUUUUCACAGCUCCUCAGUAUGUGCAUUUGAGUAUUAUGUUUUUAGGGUGCAAGAUGGGUCCCUCUUUUUUUUUUAAAGCGCUCCCUUCUUUAAGGAAACUCAAAAAGAAAAUGAAGGCAUAAAAUGACCACACAAUGUUCUUCUGGUCAACCCUUUGAGUUUUUGUGGCCUCGAACCUGAACCCUCCUGUGUAAUGUAUAUAUAAGUCACCUUUUGAAGAACAGAGCCACCCGUCUCUCUGCUUUAUUCGUGUGAUCGAAAUUUCAGGAAGUAAGAUAUAAUGUCCCCCUUGUUUUUAGUUGUUUGUUAUCUUAAUCAAACUUAAGUCAUUGAUAAAGUCAGUUUCUCCUGGAAAGUUGCCUUUCUCAAAAGCUCUCUGGGAUGGAGGUUUGUUCCUUUACUGUGACUGCUGAGGGCUUGAAAUUACUGGGAGCAAAAGCUCCUCUGCUCAUUUGCGUGUGUGUUGAACGGUCCUGACCCCAUGUCCCUGCCAGUGCUCCCCAGCGCCUUUUCUCCCAUCUCAUGUCUUCUCUUUGCUAAAGCUGGUCCCUCAUAGCGAGUGAUCUGUUCCUCGCCCAUGACCCAUCUGCCGUUCACGCCAGCCUCUCUGACUUCUGCCUUUUCCCACAUCAGCUCUUUGCCAAGUGAGUGACUCAGAGCUCGGGUUGCUCCAGGUCCGUCAGGGGUGGCUCCUUGGAGCCGGCUUGGCUGACCUUGAGCAGGUCUCCCGGGACUGGGGAGAGCCAGCCACCAAGGAGACCCGCCGCUCAGUGUGACAGAGCCAGGCCCCUGAGCUUGCUCGCUGCCUUUUAAAAAAAGCUGUGGAGGGCGGAGUGGGGGGACAACUGAGAUGUCAGUCGCUUUAGCCUCCUUGUUCACAAAAGUCGAAUAGGCUUCUAGAAGAAUAGACGAAGGGAUAGUCCCCUCUCUAAAGUAAAUACCCCGAUACACAGAUUCAGUCUGUGAGCAUUUAACACACAUGUAUUAUGAAGAGAAUCUCUAUGUGAGAGAGGCCACCACUGAUUAUAAUUUAAACUAUCAAAUUGCCAGUUAAGUUGUUUGGCAUAUUUAAAAUGCUAUCUUUUUUUUUAAAUGCUGUCUUUUAAAAUCAAAUGAAAGAACAAAUUCUGUAGGUUACUAUGUGUGCAUGCAGUCUGUUGCUGCUCAUUGCUAAUGGCUAUUGCACUAUAAGUCAGUUCAUUGACAAUGUAGGCAUUGCUUUUCUACAAAAUCCAACAGGAAAGUGAAGGCCAUUGUCUGUGGACACCUUGCCCCGGGAGCCCAGGGCUGCAGGUGUCCUGUGCCUACAGAGAGGGUGUAGAGUCUUUGCGGUUUAGACGAGGGUCCAAGCAUCAGUGAGGGCCACCUCAUGCAAAGGGCAGCCAUGUGAUAGAUGCUUGCUGGGUGCCAAACCCAGGUCCACCCCAGCUCUCCUGUCAGACCCCAGACCUUCUUUACCAUGGUGGGGUCAUAAAUGGAGCAAUGGGAAGAGGGGGGACAGGAAUGUUGCAGGGAACACAGGCAUCAGGUGGAAUAUUAGAAUGAUUCUCUAGAAACCAGGGAAAGUCUUCCUUUAAUAGCAGAAAGGAAGAGACAAAAAGUCAAAGAGUGAAGUAGAGACUGUAAGAGCACGGGCACUAGAGACAAGGAGGACACCUACAUUGAUUAGACCUUCAGGCUCAUGCUCCAACCUGUUAAGUGUCGCUCCAUCCCUGUGCAGAUUGAGAAAGCCUAGUGCAUUCUGAAUACUCUGCAAAGUUUGGACACACACCUGGCUGCUCAGGGCCACACACCUCCUGAGCACAGGAGUGUCCUCUCUGCGAUGGUCUCUCUUCCAGAGCCCCAUGCUGUGGUCUCUCACUGUGUGUGCCCCCCCCACACACAUUCGCAUGUUGAACUCCUGGUGCCCAGUGUGAUGAUAUCAGGAGGUAGGGCCUUCGGGAUGGCCGGGAUGGGCUGAAGUCCUGAGGGUGGGGCCCUCCCCAAUGGGUUAGUGCCCUUACGAAAGUGGAUCCAGGGAGACCCCUUGCCUCCUGCACUGUGUGGGGACACGGUGGGAGUGUGAAACCCGCAAGGGAGCCCUCACCAGAACACAGCAAGCUGGCACCGUGUUCUCUGGGACGUGCAGCCUCCAGAACUGUGGGGAAUAGAUGCCUGUUGUUCAUAAGCCGCCCGGCCUGCGGUGUUUUGUUACAGCAGCCCGAACAUAACGAAGAAGCCUAGGGUGAAAGUAUGUUAAGUAUUCAAUUCUGGUAUUUUGUUACUUACCUGUGUUCAGAGAUGUAACAGAAAACCUGACGAUCCUCCUGAUCGGCUUUUCUUCUUGGGGAAAUUCCUCCUGUUCAGCAAAGGGGGAGAAGCCACUUUCUCCACACUUGGUCUUCAGGUGGUGUUUGGACAAACUGACUCUCAUGGGGGCACAUAGCCGUGGCCAGUCAUGUCCUGAAAUGUUGAUCUUUUGCCUUUAUUAGACUGUCUGUAGGAGCCACUGAGCGCUGAGCUCAGCAGCGUCCUCGGUCAGAGGGGGCAGCAUUGGGCAUGACCAUCUGUAGAAGGACCUUCCUCUGCCCUGGGAGGAUUCCCUGUGGCGGGGCUCCUGGUUCUCUACCCCGCAAGCCGGCUCAGGUGUCGAGCCUUGCGCACCUGCCUUGUGUUCCAUGCAUGGCAUUGCCAUUUCUUUGUCACCAAACAGCUCCACUCCUGACUCCACCAUCUGCUAGUCAGCCUCCCUUCGACUUUGCUCUCAGAGCAGUUCCCUCAGUAAGCAGAAAUUUCUUUUACAAGCAUUAUGUUCAGUGUGUUUCCCCCGCUCUCAAGCCCGCUCUUCUCCGUUACCUAUAGAACAAACGUAACUUCAGAGCUUGGCAGUUAAAGCCGCCCCUCGGCGGGGCUGCCGCCGCCCCCACCCAAAGCCAGUCUCCCCUUCUCUCCUGCUGUUCUUCCCACACCUUCCUCGUCAGCAUACGAGCUCUUCCUUGCCUGGAAAUCCUUCUCAAUUCCUGUCUCCCAAAGUUUGGGGCCCAUUGCAAAAGUUACCUUUUGCUUUAAAAAAAAAAAAAAAAAAAAAA
rnacentral:lncRNA from 1 species